CAGUCCAUGGGGUCCCAAAGAAUCCUACAGGAAUGAGCAUGCAUGCACACCUUGCCAAAUAGGACAUGGGUCUCACAGGAGCUCACUGUUCUGAGUCAGCAAGCAGGCUCUGUGUUAGGAGAGCUGGGGCUCGUGUGUGAUCAGGUGAGGCCGCUCUGCAAUCACCUGGGCAGCGAGGUCCACACAGACCCAGGUGACAGUGAUGCUCGGUGAUUGUCUGCGCCUCCUCAGGCCUGGAAUCCUCACUGGCUCAGCAAGGAGGGAGAAGCUGGACCGGGCCGGGUGCAGCUCUGGGGUGCUUGCUGACCUCUCCUCCUGCUCUGCCUUUGUGAGGUCCCUCGAAGCCUGCAUUAGGAGAUGAGAACUGUGUUCUGAAACUGCUCCUUCACUUAUCAUGCUUACUGUACUUGUUACAUGAACUUGGCAAGCUUGUUUCUCCAGUGGGCCCAGUUCCCUUUCAUCUGAUGAUGUCAGGGGAGACUUUUUUAAAAUUCCAUCUGGUCCUUCUGCUCAGUUCCCUUGACUUCUUGGAAUUUUUCUGGACUGACUGGGAGAGUCACUGCCCCGCACGAGUUUGCAUGCAGAUGAAAAUUCAGUGCGAGUGAGAGGGCCACGCCGCGUCUCUGUUUCUGGCUUCAAAGCAGAAUGAAAAGCUUCUUGUCCAUCAGAAACAGAUCCAAGGAUGCACUGAGAACACUGCCUUUGGUGAAAUGAACAGAAGUACAAGGCGGACCACAGACACAGCUACAUCUUUGUCUCCUGUUUGGGGGAAUAUUUUUAAGGGUGUGAGAGAGACUGCAGGCUGCCCAUCCAUGUGAAAGCAACAAGACUGAAAUGAUUCCACUGCUGCCGGAGAUAUUCUGAGAAGAAAGCGUGUUGGAAAGCACAAGGUUUCCAAGGAAGAACUUCAGGGAAGAGUUCCAUAUCUCCAGGAGAAAAGAAGCAGCAGUGAAGCCAAGGACCACUCCUCUUCUGAGGCCAGAUCCUCUGCUUUCCCAGUCCUGAAUCCUACUUAGGAGAACUUCCAGGACCAAUCAAUGAUACUGAGAAACCAAUAUUAGGAUGUCAAGGGAUAUUGGAAGGCACUCUUUGUUGGGGGACAGAGACAUCAGAUAACCCUUCAACCUCUGGGAUCGCACCAUCAGCCUCAACAUCCUUAAACACUUGAUUCAUGAGAUAAAUCAUUAAAGCAUUAUGAAGUGCAAGUAAA